rnacentral:rRNA from 1 species
UACGUAGGUGGCGAGCGUUGUCCGGAUUUACUGGGCGUAAAGAGCGCGCAGGCGGCUGGUCAAGUCCGAUGUGAAAGCUCCCGGCUUAACUGGGAAAUUGCAUCGGAAACUGAUCGGCUGGAAGGUGGGAGAGGGUAGCGGAAUUCCCGGUGUAGUGGUGAAAUGCGUAGAUAUCGGGAGGAACACCAGUGGCGAAAGCGGCUACCUGGUCCGAUACUGACGCUGAGGCGCGAAAGCCAGGGGAGCAAACGGG